rnacentral:rRNA from 1 species
CAGUAGCCACGGUAAUACGGAGGGUGCAAGCGUUAAUCGGAAUUACUGGGCGUAAAGCGCACGCAGGCGGUCUGACAAGUCAGAUGUGAAAUCCCCGGGCUUAACCUGGGAACUGCAUUUGAAACUGUCAGGCUGGAGUCUUGUAGAGGGGGGUGGAAUUCCAGGUGUAGCGGUGAAAUGCGUAGAGAUCUGGAGGAAUACCGGUGGCGAAGGCGGCCCCCUGGACAAAGACUGACGCUCAGGUGCGAAAGCGUGGGGAGCAAACAGGAUUAGAUACCCGAGUAGUCCCUGUCUCUUAUAC